UUGGUCAAACAUUAUUCUUGAUGUCUCUGCAAGACUGUUUUGGGGGUGAAAUUAACAGGCAAGUUGGUGAGCUUUGGUGAAGCAAACAACCUUACAUGAUGUGAGUGGUCCUUGUGCCCAGUUGAAGCCAUGCACUGUGCACUGGAGAGGCAGAGCAUCCUGCCUUCCACAGCCGUGCACACCAGUCCCUGUGCACAAGUGGCCACCCACCCAGCGAAUCGACGUGGUGUGCUUAUCAAAAUCUGUGUGUCUGUGGGCCAGAGCCAAAUCCAGCAGAGCCCCAUCCUGAAUGCCCAGCGGUGCCCACAGCCAGGAGGAGCAUUCGAUGUGUGAUGACUCAUCUCGUGCAUCAGACGCUCUCUAAAGUUCCCACAGAUUAUACCAUGGCUUAGUGAGUGCGAUUCUAAGACAGUUCCAAAAGACUUUUCAAUCCGUGGGAGUUUCAAAGUGGAUUCUCAGACAAACAUGGGGAGGACUGAGGCAGGCUUGGACACGCACAGAAUCAGACAACGAUGGUCCGGAGUUCAAAUCCCUGCAACCACAUGGUGGCUCACAACCAACUGUAAUGAGAUCUGGCGCCCUCUUCUGGAGUGUCUGAAGACAGAUACAGUGUACUUACAUAUAGUAAAUAAAUAAAUCUUAAAAAAAAAAAAAACUGAUACACACA
rnacentral:lncRNA from 1 species